UCUUCAUAGCUCAGUUGGUUAGAGCAUGGUGCUGAUAACGCCAGGGUUGCAGGUUUGAUCCCCAUAUGGGACAG
rnacentral:tRNA from 1 species